GGGGUGCUCGAGUGGCGAACGGGUGAGUAACACGUGAGUAACCUGCCCUUGACUUUGGGAUAACUUCAGGAAACUGGGGCUAAUACCGGAUAGGAGCUCCUGCUGCAUGGUGGGGGUUGGAAAGUUUCGGCGGUUGGGGAUGGACUCGCGGCUUAUCAGCUUGUUGGUGGGGUAGUGGCUUACCAAGGCUUUGACGGGUAGCCGGCCUGAGAGGGUGACCGGCCACAUUUGGACUGAGAUACGGCCCAG
rnacentral:rRNA from 1 species